rnacentral:tRNA from 1 species
GCUCUAAUAGUUAAAAAAAAAAUGUUACGUUGUGGUUGUAGAGUUGCGGAUGCUUAGGGUA